UACGUAGGUGGCAAGCGUUGUCCGGAUUUAUUGGGCGUAAAGGGAGAGCAGGUGGUUUCUUAAGUCUGAUGUGAAAGCCCACGGCUUAACCGUGGAGGGUCAUUGGAAACUGGGGAACUUGAGUGCAGAAGAGGAAAGUGGAAUUCCAAGUGUAGCGGUGGAAUGCGUAGAUAUUAGGAGGAACACCGGUGGCGAAGGCGGCUAUCUGGACAGUAACUGACGCUGAGGCGCGAAAGCGUGGGGAGCAAACAGGAUUAGAUACCCCCGUAGUCCCUGAGCGGG
rnacentral:rRNA from 1 species